UUGCUAGCUACUUCUAUGAAGCGCAGUGACGAGUUUUGUCCAAGGGCAGUCGUGCAAUUGAAAAAUUCACACUAUCACUAAACCACACGUGUCUCACUUCUCAGGAUAUCAUGAAUAUUUCACCAUGAUACCAAAAAAUGUUAGAAAAUGAUCUUAGUUACAACUAAAAAAUGGCGCAAUUUUCUAACGGUCGUGAUCACGCGCAUACUCGUUCAACACCAUUUCACGCUACUCAACCCUGUCAUCCAUAGUCAUAGAAUAAAGUUUAUCAAGAUAACCUCACUCGAAACUCACGGUUUGCGAAAAUGUAAAGUCUAGCUUGGGUCACCAGAAACUCACAUGAUACAAAAUACUUGUAGAUUAUAAAUAUUUUUUCAAAGGAUAAUUAGUAUAUUACUUUAUCACUUAAUAUCGUAGUAAAUACAAACCAUUUUUUACAUGAGUAUAAUCAGGAAAACCUUCAAUACGGCCAAGAGCUAUAACAACUGGGCUCUGAUCAUAGAUGUAUUUAUGAGAAACUUCCCUUAUUUUAUCUGCUGUUACUUUCUGUAAUAUAAAGAUAUUAUUCUGCAAUAAAAAUAUAAAUUACUUAGUACAAUAUGUUCUACCUCAUAUUCCACAACCCUAUGUUCAACAGGUUCAUAACAUCCAUGUCUAUACACGUUUUCAACAAUGUCAAAGAAACGAUUUAAUGGAUCAUUUAGUAUUAGUAAAUCUUUUGUAAUGCAUUGAUGAACAGCUCGAGAUACUUCUUUCUGGGUUAUUGUUGUGCAUAAUUUCAUCCAUUCUUUUUGUAAUGCACGAACCAUAUACUAUAUAAAUAUUACAAAUAUAAAAAUUGUUAAAGAUAAAGCUUUAUUUUCUCGAUAUUUAGGAUAUACCAAAAGAGUUGAAUAGUCACAAACGAAAUAACAGCCCCAAAUACUAGUACUCUGUGCCCAAUGAUGAAAAAAGGAUUUAUACAUAUAACAUAAGUCUGUAUUGUAUGCAUAGUGGGCAAUAAAUGGUGCAUUAUGAUUUGCUCCACCUAAAAAUAUUAUUGUGAAUAUUACAUAUUAAAUUGUACAAUAGUUAAAUAUAGAUUAUUAACUUACCAUCUGACUUAUCCCAAGAGCCUACAAUUUCUUUAGCUACAGUAAGGGCAGUGCAAUCUUCACGUUCUCUAUAACUUGAUCCUUCAAAUCCUAUUGCUGCAUAUCCCAUUUCAUUAUCAUCAUCUCUUAAUCGCAUUUCAGCAGCUAAAUUGCACAUGAAAUAUUUAUACAAAAACAUAAUGAAGUAAUCAGAGAGAGUAGUAAAG
rnacentral:misc_RNA from 1 species